UGCCCGCCGCCCAAGGCUCCUGGCUGCGAGCCGCUGGGUCCCGGCACGGAGGUGUCGGGGCCGGGGAGGAGGGCGGCGGAGGGAGGAGGGCUCCGGGCGGCUGCGGGGCCCCGAGCGGUGCCCGCUUCCUCCCACGGUCUCCCGAAACCCGCCGGGUUCCGGUUUGGGUGCUUGCUAGUCUUGCCCCUGGGGAUAUGUCCUUUGCGUGGAUAAAGAAGGAAUAAUCCUCAGGCGGCGGACAGGAGCGGGUUUAAGCAGGGAAUGGGCACGGAUGUUCCUCCGCAGCCAAGCUCGCCGUGCUGUGAGGGCGGGUGGGUGCAGGAGCGGGUCCCUUUGCCAGGGCAGGGGGACAUACAUCUUUAUCGCCUGUUUGCAGUCAUUUGCCGCGUUAUCGUGCAGCCAUUCGGCAUUUUACUGAAAGCAGGACAGAAAUUAUUGCGGGAAACGACAGAGGAGCUCCGGUUGUGUCGAAGUGCAACACUGAAGAGAAUGCUUCUUUCUUCAGUAAAUUAACAUAUUCCUGGUUUGGCGGGCUUCUUGCAUCCAGAGAGUGCUAUUUAAGAAAACAAGUUUUCCUCGAAACAUCUUUGAUUUUGCCAUUAUGGCAAACAUUUAAGUAUUUAUUGAUUAAAGUUUAAUUUCUGAAAGUUACAGGUGACAUUCUGGCUUUUAUGAGUCCACAAGUAAUGAAAUCAAUGAUUGUGGCAGUGAAACCCAGCCUAGUUUGUGUGGGAGUGGCUGUGGCUAUACUAUUGCCCAGUUUUUGUGGUUCUUUCACAAACUCUUCUCCAUCAGUUAUACCAUCGGAACAACGUUCUUACAGCAGUCAAAAUCAAGACCGCAGUUGUUGGCCUGGUCUACAAAAGAGUAGUCAUGUCAGCAUUCCUGAAGGCUCUUUAGUUGCUGUUGUGGAACAGGUUGGAUCUGGAAAGUCAUCUUUUCUUUCUGCUAUUCUUGGAGAAAUGGAGAAACUUGAAGGAAUGGUUCAGAGUAGAAUAAGAUUGUCCGUCUUCCCCUGCCCUUUCCACUCCUCAAUACUCCAGUUAAGCAGAACUAAUGAACAGAUAUUCAGAGGGCAUAUAGGUUAAUGUAAAAAAAAAUAUUUAAAAGCACUUUGUUCCUAUCCUGUAAUCUUAAAUUCUAAAGCUGACACAUUCCACAUUUUAUGUAUAAAUACAGACCAUCAAACGGUGUUUUGAUGUCUAAUAAGACCCAGUUUCCUGCAUAUAGAUAUUACAAUGGAUGCCUGUUUGUCACUAUGAUCUUUCCCUGGAAGACUUUGCUCCAUAUAUGUCCCAGCUCUGUCAGUUUUAUUCAGUCAUAUGUGUUUUUUUAUAGGAAAGCUGUUACAGUGUAAUAUGCAGCAGAUUGUUUCUAUUACCUGACUUAAUAAAAAUUUUAACAACA